CACGCCGUCUCCUCUCGCGCAACGCUGCAACCUUGGGCAAAGCAACCACUUCUGGUUGCCAGACGACGGCAUUAGUGACAGCGAAUUCCAGCGACGGCGUUUGUUCUUUCCUUCAUGCACGGCAGCGACGACGACUUCUGAAAUCUUCUUUCUUCGGGUUAGCGUUGCGCAAUGGAGAGAUACCACUCGUCAAUCAUGACCAUAAUCUCCUUUUAGUGGAUAUGUGAAGGACAGUGGAGUUACCUGCCAAACAUGACCGUAACUUCUUAUAGUGGACAUUUCACAGUUCUUCGUGGGGUAGAGCAGCUUGGUAGCUCGCAAGGCUAGUCCCAUUCCUUCUUUCAUUUGACAUCCUACACGUAACCUUUUUCGAAGUUGAAUGAAUCGGAAGGCUCAAGCUCAACCUGAUUGAAGGAGUUUACAAUCUUUAAAAGAAAGGAGCGUGUUAACUACUUUCUUUUUUAACCGUAAGAGGGAGUUCAUUCACAUAGAGAUUUGGUGAGAUUAUCAAAUUUUUAAGAUACUUAUUUUGGAUGGGGUUCUGACAUCCUAUCCUACCUGAUCAGGAAUGCGCAGGGGCGCGUCGUAACGGUCGGUGGCUGUAACAUUUUUUAGUAGACAUUUGAAGGGUGGGAAGUUCAUUAUGUGGGGGGAGACUAUAAAUACCCACAUAAUUAAUACCUAAAAAUUAGGUUUUGGAUGAAUGAAAUUGAGGUCUCGAGACUUUCACCCUUAA